rnacentral:piRNA from 1 species
UGAUCAAACCCAGUAGGUGCCGGCUCA